GACGAACGCUGGCGGCGUGCCUAAUACAUGCAAGUCGAACGCAGUGGGGACGGGUGAGUAACACGUGGGUAACCUCCCAUCAGAGGGGAUAACACUUGGAAACAGGUGCUAAACCGAUACUGAUGGAUGGACCCGCGGUGCAUUAGCUAGGUGGUGGGGGAACGGCUCACCAAGGCCACGAUGCAUAGCCGGCCUUGGGGGGUGAUCGGCCAAAACGGGAAUGGGACACGGCCCAGAAUCCUACGGGGGGCAGCAGUAGGGAAUCUUCGGCAAUGGGCGAAAAUCUGACCGAGCAACGCCGCGUGAGUGAAGAAGGUUUUCGGGUCGUAAAGCUCUGUUGUGAAGGGAGCGGUACUUAACCAGAAAGGGCCGGCUAACUACGUGCCAGCAGCCGCGGUAAUUC
rnacentral:rRNA from 1 species